ACUAGAAUUUUUCUUUCAGGAGAACUGGGAGCUGCAGUUGCUCAUUAUAGUUUACCGUGCCUUCCAACUAGCUGUUUGUCAAUACCCAGCACAAUCCGCAGAAGCCUGCCUACUGCUAAUAUUUCCAUAUUUCUUCCUACUCCUCUGUAACACAGCUCUUCCUUUUUUAACAUGGCAGGAAAUUUCCAGCUGCUGUUAAAGGCUGCUACUGGGGAGAAUACGUGAGCCCAGUGUCUGCAAAUAGACCUCAGAUGAACUCACACAGAGCAUCUCAGCAGCUCUGUUAAUGUCACCUACUCCAGAUGUCUUCACCAACCAAGAGACUGUCAAAGAAAAUAUCUUUAUAGCUUGCAUGGACAGCAGAAUCCAGCCCUUGAACAGACUUUCAUGAAGAACACAUACGAGGCACGAUUUUUGCCUUUAUAUUCAAAUACACGCUAUUGUUCUGUAGUUACAUAAGUCAGCCAGUCAGAGAACAGAAACAACAUCAUAUGACUUAUGUAACUAACCAUUGCCCAAUCCUGCAAUGAGAUCUGUGUGGCCAGGCCCCCCCCAUGCAAAGCCCCAUUGAAGUCCAGACAAAGAUCACUCCGGGGUUGGAACCCAACAUGGUAGAAUUUAUGACUAUUUGCAACAAGCCACUCACGAACAAAACUGAGAAUUAAUCCCUGAAGAAACGGGUGAAUCAUUUUUUUGAUGAACAAAUACAUUCUAUUCUGUUUGUAACAGCUUUGUGGAUAAUUCAGGAUUCAGAAAAGAGGCAAAAUCCAUCAAAGCAAAUAGACAUUAAUUUCUAAUUAUAUGUCCGGUUCUUCAAGAAGGGCCAAUAUCCUUGGGCAAACAAAAAGAGGAGUCUGGAGAAAACAAUCUUCUGAGAAACAAUUUGUUCAUUCUUGAUAACUCAGAAAUUCAUCUGAGGUGCAACCAGUGGUUGAAAUGGUUGAAUUCAGCAAACAUGGCACCAAAAAUCAGAUGCCAUGGUCUAUAUGAGAAGACCUCCAUGACUGGAAGUGCUGGUAUGGCCUGUUUCAGCUUUUAGGUUUAGUGCACCCUGUUGCGUCUCAUAUGCAAACAGUGAGAACUCCUUCCUGCUGUUGAACAAAACUUUGCGGGAUGCUGGAAAAAUCCUGAAAUGCGCUCUUCUGAGGACGCAGAGAAUAAAAAGGAUGGAAAAUGGAAACACUGACAGGUAUUAUGAGAACGGGCAAAACCCAAAUCCCUUCUUGCCUUGUUUUCCAUUCUUGACCACAGCCCAAACCAGUCCCUUCCAAGGAAGACGACCCCAAACAAUGGGUUCAUGUCACCAUCCCCUCCACCUUGAACUUUAGCAGUGAAAGACUGUCUAAAGCUCUAAAACUCCUCCAGUGGUGAGAGAUUCUAUAAAAUGCUUCAGAUGUCAUCCUGGCUGUGGUGACCAGCUGGUAGCUUGCCUGGCCCUCCUAAAGCCUGCCUUUUAUUUAAGACACUGCCUGCCAUUGCAUGCCUGGCUGCAGGUAGAAGCUUCAGACCAGGGUUAGGCUGCACAAAGAGUGUAAAGUAAUGUGGCAGUGUGGCCACCAGUGUGGCCACCAGGCUGUAGCAAGGAGAACCUGCUCACAGGAAAAGCUGCUUCCCAGUGCUCUCCUUCAGCCUCCAUGAUCCAUCCUAGCGAGUGCAGAGCUGCUGCUACUAGCAGCUCAGGGAGGUCCACUGCUUCCCCUUGCCCUGCCUUCCUCCAUGUUUCAGACCACUUUAUGUAGAGUCAGUGUGUUUACUGCCAGUUUGCACCUGAUCAUGCAGAAUAACAAGAUGCAUCCAGCCCAUGACUUCAGUUGAAGAGGUAGGGCAGGGAAUUCUGAUAAAUGAACACCAAUUGUUUCUAUAGGGAGUGUUAUUUCAAACCAUUCAGGAGACAUCAAGAACUUUACUGUAUACACAAAGAGGCUUUUGACUUAAAUGCUGUGCUUGGAACAUACGGGAACAGCCAAAAUAUUGUAAACAGAUUUGCUUUUUACUCUGUGCUUAGCAAAAUAUUGGCAAGAUGCUUAAACAUCUAAUUAGCCCAUUUUCUUACUUUGGCAUCUGCUUGAUUUGCAUUUUAGGGUCAAGAUCUGUUGCUUUUGCACUCAGUGGUAUUACUUCUGGAGAUUAUAUUCUAUAUAAGAUGUAUUUGUCUAGGCCAUUGUUCUUUGUCAAAUAAAACAGAGAACUGCAUAGUUUGCCUAUGGGAAAAAAUACAUGUGGUGGCUAGCAUGUCAUUUUUUUUCCUGUAGAAAGUGAGUAGAAAUUGGUUUUUUGCAAUCUGCUAAUACAAGAUCUAUGGAGGGGCCAUCCAGCUGAGAGCGGUCUGGCUGCUACAGUAUGGCUACCUACAAUCCACUAGUAGUCAUGAUCCUGAAAUGUAGCAGUUGGAAAUAAACUCAUUUAAACCAUC